rnacentral:rRNA from 1 species
CCUACGGGAGGCAGCAGUAGGGAAUCUUCCACAAUGGACGAAAGUCUGAUGGAGCAACGCCGCGUGAGCGAUGAAGGCCUUCGGGUCGUAAAGCUCUGUUGUUAGGGAAGAACAAGUACCGGAGUAACUGCCGGUACCUUGACGGUACCUAACCAGAAAGCCACGGCUAACUACGUGCCAGCAGCCGCGGUAAUACGUAGGUGGCAAGCGUUGUCCGGAAUUAUUGGGCGUAAAGCGCGCGCAGGCGGUCCUUUAAGUCUGAUGUGAAAGCCCACGGCUCAACCGUGGAGGGUCAUUGGAAACUGGGGGACUUGAGUGCAGAAGAGGAAAGCGGAAUUCCACGUGUAGCGGUGAAAUACGUAGAGAUGUGGAGGAACACCAGUGGCGAAGGCGGCUCUCUGGUCUGUAACUGACGCUGAGGCGCGAAAGCGUGGGGAGCGAACAGGAUUAGAUACCCUGGUAGUCCACGCCGUAAACGAUGAGUGCUAAGUGUUAGGGGGUUUCCGCCCUUUAGUGCUGCAGCAAACGCAUUAAGCACUCCGCCUGGGGAGUACGGCCGCAAGGCUGAAACUCAAAGGAAUUGACGG